UCCUUAGUGGUGAAGUGGUAGCACGUGCCCCAAGAAGGGUGAAGCGCGGGUUCAACUCCCGCCUGAGGUC